rnacentral:rRNA from 1 species
GUCCACGCCGUAACGAUGGAUGCUAGCCGUCGGCAAGCUUGCUUGUCGGUGGCGCAGCUAACGCAUUAAGCAUCCCGCCUGGGAGUACGGCCGCAAGGUUAAACUCAAAGGAAUUGACGGGGCCCGCACAAGCGGUGGAGCAUGUGGUUUAAUUCGACGCAACGCGAAGAACCUUACCAGCUCUUGACAUGGCCGGACGGUUUUCCAGAGAUGGGAUUCCCCCUAGCAAUAGGCCGGUACACAGGUGCUGCAUGGCUGUCGU